rnacentral:rRNA from 1 species
CCCGGCGCACGGGUGAGUAACACGUAUGCAACCUGCCUGCCACAGCCGGAUAAUCGGGAGAAAUUCCGUCUAAUACGGCAUAAUGCAUCGACGGGACAUCCUGUUGGUGCCAAAGGUUAAUUCCGGUGGCGGAUGGGCAUGCGUCGCAUUAGUUAGUUGGCGGUGUAACGGACCACCAAGACGACGAUGCGUAGGGGUUCUGAGAGGAAGGUCCCCCACACUGGUACUGAGACACGGUCCAAACUCCUACGGGAGGCAGCAG